UGUGUACUAGAGAGCUUAGAAGAGCAUGCGAUCAGCACUCCUCCGCCGCGAGAGCGAGAACUGUUCUCACCAUUACGAUCACAUCGGUAAAUUGAAUAGGAAUCAUCAGAGAUGAGAGAGGAUGGUAUUGACUCGUCGAGCCACGUUUCUGUUAGUGCAAUUAUGUCGUAAUCAGAUUCUCCCAGAGCUAGACGUAGAUUAUUAAGUUUGGUACGAAUUCCUCUAACGUUCUGAUAAAACACGUGCAGAUGUAAGUUAGAAGAGACAUUCUGGUGAGUAUGAGCCGAACUAUCAUGGAGGCCCACAGCAGUGAUUGGUGCUACGCCAAGGUAUGGUGAGGAGCGGGGUGCCAGCUGAUUAUUAGUACUGUUAUCAACUAUUGCUGGAUUGUUACUUGCUGUCUGUCUGUUGUUUCGGGGCGUGUGGCUUCGGUGGACGGCUCUAUCGUGCAAUGUGCGAUCGGUUUCGGUGAUGGGCAAUGAGCAAGGUGAGGACCCGUGGUGGGAUAUGGCAUUGAUGCGUGGUGUGUGUUGGUAUAGAUUUCCGAAGGUUUGUGGGGAAGGUCUCGAGAAGCAGGACACCAAAAAUUUUGAACAGGCGAUCGACGGUCAGUGAAUUCACGGAAAAUCAAUCCCGCAGGUCAGGUAGUCGGAGCGAGAGCCUUGUUUUUAAGCGAGAGCAUUAAUCCCACCUUAAACGAAACAAAAGUGAGAGUGCUCGUAUCGCGAUCCCGUGGCAGCAGCCUAAUAACGGUGACGUCAUCAGUGCCUAGUUGCUAAGACCCGAGACGGUGUUGUAAUUGCUGUGCCAAAAAGUAGAGGAGCGGCAUUAUCGGUGGUUUUUUGUAAUUGGUGGUGAAUAAUCGACAAGUCUGCGUUUAGGCGCAUUGCGCUUCGGUGCAUUUUGAGAAGUGCGGAUGGAUUCACUAUUGCGUGCACUGAGUGGUGUGAAUGUGUUGGUGAAAGAUGGUUGCAUUUCCAGGCGGUCCACUAUUGAACGAACAGAGUGUGAGGUUGUGUGCGUGUUAACGUCUUUCUUAAUACACGUUGCCCAUAAUUGUGCAAGUCACUUAAAUAUUCUCGCUGCCAUCGCUUCCAAUGCAGCUGGACCAAUCGCUGAAUCUGUACAUAACGACGUAAACGAUUUUCAGGUUGAUUGGAGACAUCCUUCUCGGGUAACGCCGUCUGGGGUGCCCCAAUCAAGAAAUGCCCUGGUGUAAGGACAUUCAUUUCCGAUGAGUCUUCGUGGAGUCAAAGGACGGCUGUUCAGCUGCACCUCGAUCUGCGUUAAUACCGUUGUCAUCUCAGGAAAAGAAAGUCUCUGGUUGCCCAGUACCUUCCGCAGGAUCCGCUUAGCAGACUUGACGGCCGCCUCCCACAAACCACCGUAGUUCGGAGCAUGUGGCGGGAUGAAGUGCCACUCGAUGUCAUCUUCGAGAGCUGCAUUACCAAGGAACAUUUCCUACGCUUUUUAGAUUUAAACAUGUCUUAUCAAAGUUUUAUCAUGGUUGACUUAAGAAAUAAAUGUCGUAAUACACAAUUUUUACUUGCUAAGCAGUCUUUGAAAUACGAGCAUCUUUAAAACAUUAUAAAACACCUACACAACCACCUAUUAAAACCAAAAUUGCUGUUUUUUUUGGGUGAUUUUAAUCGCACUGUAAAUGUGCUGUAAAGAGCUUUAAAAAAACCGUUGAUUUACAGGGUUUUCCAUUCCAAUUAACAAUUGUCCACAGUCUACUAGCAAUCCUCGAUUUGAAAAACACAAUUGUCUACCACUUACACACAAGUCAAGCCGUUUUUGGUACACUGUCCAUUUCAAUUACACAAUUGUCGUCUUCGAAAACACACGUCAGAUGCGGCACGGUUUUGGCUGGAACGUGUAUCACUUGUCUGUAAGAAUUGAACCAUGUUGUAAACAGGUCUUGAUUGAAUAUCAGAAAAUAGGAAAGCUGGGCAAUUUGGACAUGUUAAGCAGUUUUAUCAUUUGGUUUUAGUUAUUCUUGGAUCGUUACAGUUUUUAGGUUAUUUUGGGACGUUGUAAUUUUUUUUUCAUUGGUUACCAGUAAAAGCACCGAUAAAUGUCAAAAUUCCUGCAUUGUAUUGAAAGAUUAAAGUAUACAUAAAAUGCCUUACAUGUCCAUGUUGCCCAGCAGCCCAACUACAAGUGAUACACGUUCCAGCCAAAACCAAAACAAACCGUGCCGCAUCUGACGUGUGUUUUCGAAGACGACAAUUGUGAAAUUGAAAUGGACAGUGUACCAAA